rnacentral:tRNA from 2 species
ACUUAAGUAGUUUAAUUUAGAACAGUAAUUUGUGGUGUUACUAGUGCAUUAUUGCCUUAGGUU